rnacentral:lncRNA from 1 species
UGGACAAAAUAAACUAAGAAAUAAAAAUCUUUUUGGGAUUUUUCAUUUAUACUAUUUUUUGGGGGUUUUCAAAUACAAAACAGGGAGUACUAUAACAAAAGACUCGACAAUCUUUACUAGAUUGACAGACUCGAUACUAUUGUACAAGACUAAAAAUUAAAGGACAACAUAAAAUAGACUAAAAAAUAAAAAAAAAAUUCCUCAAGCAGCUCGUGCAUACAAUGGUCCUGACUAGAAUGGUCCUGGGGUAUUUGUCAUGCUCAAACUCUAGCAAAUUGCUCCAUACCUGAAUGGAAAAAAUAAGAUCAAAUAGAGUUAGUGAAUCAAAAGACACAUGUGACGCCACGACACCUUCUAUUAGACACAUGCAAGACGCGAUUGGGCUAUUUGUAAAAUGACCUACGUAGCCAAAAUGUGGCUAUUAGGGCAAACUCAACAAAGAUGACCUCAAAGACAUGGAAAAAUACUUCACUAAGGCUUAUAUGGAUUCAAACUCCCAAUAAUCAUGGCCCAAAAUUAAUUUGCAGAAAUGACCCAUUUUGCAAAAGCGACCGAUAUGGCCAAAAGUGGCUAAAGAUGCAAACUCAAUAAGGACGGACCUUAAAGUAAUAUGAUACCUAGUUGUGGACUUAAGAUCCUAAGACAUGGGUAAUUGAACCACUUUUGCGAAAAUGACCCCAUUUUACAAUAAUGGCCGAUAUGGCCAAUAGUGGCUAGACAUGCAAAUUUUGGCUAAGAUCCCGCAAAGCCAAGAACCUAAGACUCACUAGGAAGACCGGACCCUAUAUGGGUUGCCUAUGUAUCCCACCCCAAGAGACGAGAAUCAGGUAUGCGUAGUUCAGACAGAUUGGACAUGGGAGAAAGCUUAAAAAAUGACACUAAUUUGGAAAAAAUAUUUUUUGUCUUUUUGAAAAAUGAUGGAAGAUGUAAAAUCUUUUUGGAUUUUUUCUUUCUUUCUUUUUUGAUUUUUUGGAAAAUGAUGGGAAAGUGUAAAAUCUUUUUCAUUUUCAUUUUUUUGGUCUUUUUUUUUGAAAAUGUUGUGAAAGAAAAAUAUAACUAGGCCCUACUUGCUACAUUUUUCACCCUUCUUUCCCAAACAUCAGUCCACCAAAUGACCUUUUUACCCUCAAAGAUGCAACAUGUAUCACAUAAGGAUGAUUGAAUUUUUUUUUUGGCCACGUACCCAUUUUUGACAAAAUUUGGAUAGGUUUUCUACAAAGGGACACGGUGCCUGGGACCGAGCCCUACUAGGUUUAAAUGAUAUGAUGCAAAUAAGCAUGACCUAAAGGCUGACCUACGUUUGGGGUUCACUAGACAAGGCAUUCGGGGUGGCACGUGGUCGAUGGUAGCUGCUCUAGCUGUCCGCCCACUCCACGCUCCCACGCCACCCCCUAAAGACACGAGUGACUCACAAAAAGGCCGUGUACGCUCUAACGUACUCCGGAAGACUUGUUGUAGAAAGAAGACUCGGGGUUAUGCAAAUGAUGACAAUUUAUAAAGCAGUAACACAUAAAGUAAAAACUGUAAACAAAUAAGCAACUAGCAAAUAAUAAAACGACAUAAAAAUAAAAAUCAAAUAAAGCAAACAAAACACAUAAAAACCUCAACUGAACAAGCUAAAAAGCCAACAAGAUCAAGUACUAGCUCGAACCUGCAACUCCCCAGCAGAGUCGCUAGAGAUAUCACAUCCUUUUUUUACACACUCACUAACCCUCUUAUAAAUAAUAAAAAGAUUAGUAAAGCACAAACAAGGGUUUUAAUUAAAAAGUGACAAAAAUUGUGUUCAAAAAGAAAAAAAACUCAGAGUCGCCACCUGACAUUGGUUUCGGUGUGCCAGGUCACCGUUUUUCUUAAAAAAUAAUUUUUCAUUUAAAAUACUUUGGACUCCAAACUAAGUCUGCACCAGAGAUUCAGGUAAGGGGGUUCAUUUGACUCGAGGAGAAAGUGUUAGGUACUCCCCAAGUCCCGUGAAAAUCACGGUUGCGUACUCGAUCUAGUUGGCUUUUAGAAUAUUCAAAUUUAGGUAAAAAAAACACAUAAGAGGCAAAUAAACACAAAAAGAGGCUUGAGGUCGUCCUCAUCUAAUAAAAGAAAAGUGUAAAGCAAAAUCGUAAAUACUAAAUAUUUACAAAGUUCUUCGGGGUAUUCCCCGAAAUAAACUAUAUACAAAUCCUUCGGGGCAUUCCCCGGAUAAUGAACUAAGGGACGACCUCUUACCUCAAAUGAAAGGAAGAAAGCCUAAAGUUUUCCUACCCGAAUGUGGUCGGCCUAAAACAUGCUACUAGCGUUUAAGAAAAUAAGGAAAGCAAAAUAAUUAAACAUUUCCGGUCCAAUUCCCUUGUUUGGAUUAUAUCCCCAUGACCCAUUUCAAGCAACUUAUCCAAACUAAAUAAAGACGUUAACACAUCUAACAAAUAACUAUCCAAAGGCACCUGAUAUCAAUAAACUUAUAAACAAAAGCCAUUACGAUAAAAUAGGAAAAGCCAUGACGUCCCCUGUACUCCCCCCUUCUCUAUCUGCUACAAAGUUCUAACAUUUUAAAAAUGAGAAACUAGUAAUGCAAACAUGGAUGAACAAUAUUAGAACAUGCAUCCAAAAUACUUGAUUGAUUAAAACAUAGAAGGAAACAGUAAAGCAUAUAUAGUGAAGUGAUCUCUCUUGAUUAACAAUCUAAGUGACUAAAGAAAACUCCCCUGAAAUUUAUCACAUGUUUAAAAAAAUUAGAUAGCCACACAAAGAUAAGAAAAUAAAUAUCUAAGAGAGGAAACGAGAGACGGACCUUGAAGAAAAAGAACAGAGUUCCAAAAUAAUAUUGCGAUAGAACCGCGAAUCUGCCCGGAAACAUCGGACUACAACCUUCGACGACCUCGAAACUUGCCAGAAAACUCGAAUCUCUUGAACCCAAAUCGAAAUUCUAUCCGAACUGACCGCUGUGUCCUAGCAUAACUGUAAUUCGAGAGCUCGAAGCCUACGAUGUUUCAGCAAUUUGGAGACCCUAUCUCAGCAAUAAAUGCUGAACUAGAAUUGUACUUCUCAGUGUUAUCACCACCCAUGGUUCAGACUUAAAAGUGUAGGCCAAAGAAAUGAGAAGAUGGAUUUAGGAAUGAGGAAAGUCAAUUAGGAAAUGAGAAGGAAUUUGUUUAAAUACUCAUGAUAUCAUCAAUUGAUUGGUUAGCAGUUUCUUAGAGUCGAACAAUUGUGUGUGUGUCUGUGUCUUUUGAAGAAAAAUCAGUGGUUGUGAGUUCUUUGGCGUGGAGAAGAUCGCGUAGUAUGCUUCUUUACAGCUUCCAUCGUCUUCCUAAGUAAGCAAAGAUCCCUUAUGUAAUGGUGUAGCCUAUCUACCAUCAGUCCAAGGAAUAGACAAAUUCCUCGUUAAAUCUAAAAUUUGAUUGUAUCGCAGUCUUGAAUGACAAAUUGUGGAUGAAAACUCGAAUCGGCACCGGAAAUCUAUCACCAACGACGAACUCAAAUCAACCUUGACUUAAAUCUGCUCUCAUACUCAAAGACCGCAAAUCAAAACAAAACAAAUGUAGCAACAAAAUGUUCUCGUCGGAUAUGACCAGCUCGCCAGCGAGACAGAACCUGACGAGUGAGAGAUGAGGAAACGAAGAGGAGGCGAUUUUCUGAAGUCUUCUAAGGUGCUAGUUUUCUUAGAAUAGGAGUCGCUAAAUCGUUUGGGCGCGAGGUGAAGAAACAUCUGAAUACUCGACU